UCCGGAGGGUGCAAGCGUUAUCCGGAAUCAUUGGGUUUAAAGGGUCCGCAGGCUGUCUUAUACGUCUGUGGUGAAAGCCUACAGCUCAACUGUAGAACUGCCAUUGAUACUGUAAGACUUGAAUUCGAUCGAAGUGGGCGGAAUAUGACAUGUAGCGGUGAAAUGCUUAGAUAUGUCAUAGAACACCGAUAGCGAAGGCAGCGCACUAGGGCUGGAUUGACGCUCAGGGACGAAAGCGUGGGGAGAAAACAGG
rnacentral:rRNA from 1 species